AGCUAGCCGUUAGCUUGGGAGUCAUGUUGUUCACUUUGAAUUUGUCCAGCUGAUGUAGUCAAGAGAGUCUGACUUGCUCUUAAAUGGUUGGGAAUGAAGGAGCGCAAAAAUUUCUGGGCAGCUAGACGUCUAUUUGCCGACAAGGUUCUAAUCUCGAUGGUACCUGAUGUGACGCCAGUUUUGCGCCACUUUUGAAGACUUUGGAGAUCACUGAAGGUUAGCGGGAUCUAGGAUGGUGAAGAUGAGGACCGUUACCAUGCCGACACAGAAGAUGAUGAAGAGCAGGAACCAGGGCAGGUCAGUGCAGCUUCGAUCCUCCAGUGGUCUCCAUUCUCUCUUUGUCCUCUGCAACACGCGCGCACGUAGACAAGGCACACGUCAAUAUGCGCGCGCACGCAACCGCGCGCACCGUUAGCAGGCCGAGUGACCCGGCGGCUAAUAGGAUGAAGAGCGACCAUGAGCAGUAUUGUUGGAUUAUGGGAUGGAAUCACUCGACGCUGCAGACGCGCAGCGAGCAGAACCGAACCGGGCCGAGCUCACCUCCGCGCUCCCGCAGCAUCCCAUCUCAUCCCUGGGUGGGGGGGAGGACGUGCGCGCGAUGUGACGGAGCUCGAACCGAGCGGCACCGACGGCCGGGGGUGGGGGAGUGGGGGGCCAGGCGGCGGCGGCGGGUUAUUCGGCCCGCAUUAAAAGGCCGAAGCCGGAAGCGGAAGCGGGUGCAAUCCGGGCCGAUGGCCGCCGUCUGUCCCUGCCUGCCUGGUCGUUCAAACGUCGGACGAUUGGUCGCCGCCUCACUUCCUGGUGGACUGUCAGCGCAGCGGCCAUUCAUGUCACUGCGCAUGCGCGCUCCCACAACAACAAAGCCCGCUCAGGCGCUUAUCGACGCGACGCAAUACUCGACGCCGCCACAAGAGGGACUCCUCGCGCGCACCAAGGCGGCUGUCUUCCAAGGCUGUCUGCUGGACUCUUCACUAAAUCAACCAUCAGAAGAUUGAGCGGAGAAGAUGAAGCCAUUUUCAAAUGAGCCUUUUGCUUGAAGACGCUAACACGAUUUUGAAUGUAAUAAUAAAAAGAAAAUAUGCUCCCGGCGACGUCGCGCCUAGUAUGCAAAUGUCUCCACAUACCAAAACUGUGAUGAGGUCACCAUGGUAAAGGGGACUGUGAUCUCAUCAUGGAGACUGAGUCCACACUCUAGAGUAUGAUGUCAUCGUCAUGGUGCAUCCCAGGGAUUAGCUACACACGGCUCUAUCAUGCAAUUUUAAAGAUCAGCAAUACAAAAAAAAAGUACAUUUGAUGUGAGUAUAUGUGAAUAAUGAUGUCACCAGUGUGUACAAUAUGAUGUCAUCACAUGAGUGUACACUAUACAAUAUGACACCACGUGACGUGAUCAUGUCGCAAAACAAGAUGGUGGCCGCGUGUCAUGGAGCGAUGUCUUCAACUAGGAAGGUUUCAAAAAUCACAAGCGGGUAGCGAAGGCAGAGGUCAAGCCAAAUGGUCAUUGUAAUGACACAAAGAAUAAACAUCACGCCAUCUUUGCAA